rnacentral:rRNA from 1 species
CCCAGCGUUUCUUAUUUUUGCGGUGUUUAUAGGAACCCCGGUAUAUGAAUAAAAUAGGGUACUAGUCGGCGGGCACCCAGUUUUCCAACCUGUUCAGAAGGGGGACAUUUCUUGGACUCAGUUUGCAGGACUCACUUUCCUGCGAAAGCCAUUUUCCCAAGGAUUGUUUCUCAUUAAUUCCAGCACCGAAAAGUUAGGGGAAUCGAAGACCGAUCAGAAUACCGUCGGUAGUCUUAACCCAUAAACCUAUGCCCGACUAGGGAAUCGGACGGGUCUUAUUCAUGACCCCGUUUCGGCCCCCUUCCGAGACAUCAAAGUGCUUGGGCCUCCAGGGGGACGUAUGGUCGCAAGGCUGAAACCUUAAAGAAAAUUGACGGAAGGGCACCCCAGGGGGUGGAGCCUGCGGCUUAAUUUGACUCAACACGGGGAAACUCACCAGGUCCAGACACAAUAAGGAUUGACAGAUUGAGAGCUCUUUCUUGAUUUUGUGGGUGGUGGUGCAUGGCCGUUCUUAGUUGGUGGGGUGACUUGUCUGCUUAAUUGCGAUAACGAACGAGACCUUAACCUGCUAAAUAGCCCGCAUUGCUCCGGCAGUGCGCUGGCUUCUUAGAGGGACUUUCGGCUCAAGCCGAAGGAAGUUUGAGGCAAUAACAGGUCUGUGAUGCCCUUAGAUGUUCUGGGCCGCACGCGCGCUACACUGACGGGGUCAGCGAGUUCCUUGGCCGAAAGGCCCGGGUAAUCUUGUUAGCCCCCGUCGUGCUGGGGAUAGAGCAUUGCAAUUAAAGCUCUUCAACGUCCCCUAUGCUAGUAAGCGCAAGUCAUCAGCUUGCGUUGAUCACGUCCACUGCCCUUUGCACACACCGCCCGUCAAGAGCGAAUCGCGCCGCAUAAAUACUACUCUUCCCUAUAGGU